UCGGCUUGGCACGGCUCGGCACGGCAGAGCUCAGUGCCACUGGCACAGCUUGGCAUGGCACUGCUGGCACAGUUUACCAUGGCAUGGCACUGAUGGCACACCUUGGCAUGGCUUGAAUGACAUGAAUGACAUGACAUGACAGGACUGGCACUGACAGGACAUGGCACUGCCGGCACAGUUUAGCAUGGCAUGGCAUGGGCUGGCACUGCCGGCACAGUUUACCAUGGCAUGGGCUGGGUUGGAUCUGCCAGCCCAGCAGCUGGAGCACCUUAGCAGGGCACAGCAUGGCACAGCUCAGACACCUGGGCAUGGCUGACACGAGAUGCCACAGCCUGGAAUGGCACAGCAUGGCCCGGCUGGCACAGCAUGCCCAGCGUGGCUGACGAUGGCAUGGCACGGCUCAGCUGGCACACCUUGGCACGGCACUGCCUCGGUAAGAUCAGCCUGGCACAGCCUGGCACGGCACAGCUCAGCAGCCCUGUGCCCGUGUCCUGCCACUCUCGUGACCCUGCAGGCAGUGCCUGUGCCCCGUCCCAGAGCCACCCAAGGGGAGGGGGCUGACCUUACCUCAGGGCUCUCACAAAGUGACAAUUCCCUUGUGAACCUACAACUCCUUUUCUCCAGGCAUUUUCUCCUUUGCUUUGCUGAGUCUUAAAAAUCUUCAGGUGCCAGUGCAGGCUGCUGUAUAACUAAUUAACUUCCAACAAUUAACUUCCUAUUUCUAGUUACCUUUUCCAGACAUCCUUGAAUUAAUUUCAAAAUCCCCCGGGGCUUCAGUUUUGCAGGGGGCUGAAAAGCAGCCGAGCUCAGCCAGGCUGUAUCCCCGAGGAGCCGAGGCACACGGAUAAAUCCUGGAGCUGUAUCCAGGUGAUACAGGUGUAUCCAGGUGAUUCCUGCACGUCAGGCUGCGGGGUCCUGCUGGGGUGACAGCUCCUUCCCUGGCUCUCCUGGGCUUCAGGUGGGAGCUGGUGGGAGAAUGGGGGCUUGAGGGGAGAUGUGCAAUAGAAUGGGGAUGUGGAGUGACAGGAUAAAGUUGUGGGAGCCAGGAUGGGAUGAGAGCUGAGGACCUUAGGCCUGAAGAAAGGCAGUGUGGGGCCAGGUGCCCAUUCCAGCCCCACCUCUGCCCCCCCUGGGUUUGUGUUUCAGGUCCCUCCUGCCUCCCCAGUGAGGGAGAGGGGGAAGGACAGACACCUCUAAUUAAUCAUAUUAACUCCUGACAGACGCUUUAUGUUCCAACAAUGUUGCUAUUAUUGAGUUCAUGUGCCCACCCCUCCCCAAGGCUGCUGCUCUGGGUUCUGGGAAAAAAGGCUUUGCUGGAUUUCCCCGGUGAGUGCUGGCAUCGCCCAGCGCAGCCUGACAUCCAGCCUCGCUUAUCCAACCCUAUCAAUCACACCCAGGGUCAGACCUGUCCAUUUCCCCUCUUUGUGAGGCUUUUUUCUUCCCUUUUUUUCGCUCUCCCAAAGCUGACCGCGGGAUCGAUUCAAUCCGGACAGCGGGAUGGAAGCGGAGAGGCGCUGCCUUUCAAAGGAGCCAUUCAGGGAAGGAGGAAACGGAAAAAAAGGCUUUCCUCAAAGUCCCUCGAGUUGUUUGCCAACAACAACAACUCGGCCUUCACAGAGUAACCUAAAAUCAGGACCUGUCCCACCUGGGCUGCCACUGAGGAGCUUUGGUUUCACCAAGGACGAGUUCCUGUGCAGAGCCCUGACGAAGCCCAGGGACUCCGGCGUCUUUGCGACCUGUGAAGCGAGGCUGGGGAAGAGGGAAUUAGGUUUUUGUUUACCUUCAAGACCUUCCAGUAACUUGGGAUGAGUCUGAGCAGGGAGUUUUCUGUCCCUUGGCCCCUGGGUGCCAAGGGGUGCAGAGCAGGCAGGAUGGAGAGAGGCACCCAAGCGCUGCAACCUGCACGAAUUUAAAUCGCUGUAACUCUGCUGGGCUUUGACUGAAUAAAUCACUCCUGCCUCAUU